GAUGAACGCUGGCGGCGUGCCUAAUACAUGCAAGUCGAACGCUUCACUUCGGUGAAGAGUGGCGAACGGGUGAGUAAUACAUAAGUAACCUGGCAUCUACAGGGGGAUAACUGAUGGAAACGUCAGCUAAGACCGCAUAGGUGUAGAGAUCGCAUGAACUCUAUAUGAAAAGUGCUACGGGACUGGUAGAUGAUGGACUUAUGGCGCAUUAGCUUGUUGGUAGGGUAACGGCCUACCAAGGCGACGAUGCGUAGCCGACCUGAGAGGGUGACCGGCCACACUGGGACUGAGACACGGCCCAGACUCCUACGGGAGGAAGCAGUAGGGAAUUUUCGGCAAUGGGGGAAACCCUGACAGAGCAACGCCGCGUGAAGGAAGAAGUAAUUCGUUAUGUAAACUUCUGUCAUAGAGGAAGAACGGUGGAUAUAGGGAAUGAUAUCCAAGUGACGGUACUCUAUAAGAAAGCCACGGCUAACUACGUG
rnacentral:rRNA from 1 species